UACGUAGGGGGCGAGCGUUGUCCGGAGUUACUGGGCGUAAAGGGCAUGCAGGCGGUCGUACGCGUUUCGGGUGACAGCGGGUGGCUUAACUACCCGAGUGUUCGAAAGACGGUACGACUUGAGGGCUCGAGAGGGACACGGAAUUCCGGGUGGAGUGGUGAAAUGCGUAGAGAUCCGGAAGAACACCAAAGGCGAAGGCAGUGUCCUGGCGAUGAUCUGACGCUCAGGUGCGAAAGCUAGGGGAGCGAACAG
rnacentral:rRNA from 1 species